GUGGUCACUUUGGCAGCACAUACUACUAAAACUUGGAAUGAUACAGAGAAGAUUAACAUGGCCCCUGCUCAAGGAUGACACAGGAAGUUGUGAAGUGUUCCAUAUUUUU
rnacentral:snRNA from 1 species